rnacentral:rRNA from 1 species
GCAAGGCCUUGCGCUCUUUGAGCGGCCGAUGUCAGAUUAGCUAGUUGGUGAGGUAAAGGCUUACCAAGGCGACGAUCUGUAGCGGGUCUGAGAGGAUGAUCCGCCACACUGGAACUGAGACACGGUCCAGACUCCUACGGGAGGCAGCAGUGGGAAUUUGGACAAUGGGGCAACCCUGAUCCAGCCAUGCCGCGUGAGUGAAGAAGGCCUUCGGGUUGUAAAGCUCUUUCGGCCGGGAAGAAAUCGCAUGGGCCAAUACCCUGUGUGGAUGACGGUACCGGAAUAAGAAGCACCGGCUAACUACGUG